rnacentral:lncRNA from 1 species
CAGCUGCCUGGCUGAAUUCUGCUACCCAGAUUUCUUUGCGUCUAAAAAUGUUUUGAGAGUUUUUUUGCCACGACUGCACCCUGAGACAAAGUCAGUGUUUGUCACAACGUUCACGUUGAACCUGGCAGGAAGACAGGCUGAGCCACGAAACAGUGCCUUUUCAUACGGGUGCCUAUCUGGUACUGAACAGAAAGAGUCCCCGUUGAAGCAGGAGCCAGAGGUGACCACGGGGAUUGCUGAAAAACUGCACAAAUCUUAGAGAGGGUUUUUGUUUUCCACAUAACAUAAAACAAAAGGCUGGGGGAGAUCUCACAUAGGUUCCCGGACAGUGGGAGACUCAGCUGAUGCCUAAGUGACUGCCUGAGUUUAACGCCAAAUGUUUGGAGCUUCUGCAACAGAACUCACCUUGUUCCAUUUUCACGGAUGACUUUGAGGCUGUGCGAUUGACGACGAUGAGGACCCUGGAGAACAAAUCAGUAAGAGACAUGGUGCCCACUGGGCUGUCGUCCUCCUUCACUGCUUUCAGGAUCACGGCACUGACUGAAUCGUUCACGGGGACCGUCACUGGGGGAAAGGGUAUGAGGAAGCAGUUAGCGUGAGCCAAGUGAAACCAAGGAGGUGUGUGAGCAAGGGAAGCCACGGAGUGCGGACGGACGGCAUGCACCCGCUUCUGUAAAACAAAGUACAGAGAUCCUGACUGGGAACCCAGGGUGCCACAGGCCUGUGACUCCAAAAUUAUUUGACACGGACCCCCGUCUCAGCACCUGCUAUCUGAAGAAGUGGGAAAGGCUGCAACUAUGGAGACCAGAAGACUGUACCUAAUGGAAAGAUCAAGGAGAGAAGUCUCCUAAAAUGGUCAACUCAAACCAGGCCCAUUGUCUCUUUCUUCCUACUGCCUGCCAAUCCAGAUGUAGAACUCUCAGCUACUCUCCAGCACCUCUGUGAAGCCUUGCUCUCUGCCAUGAAGAGAAUAGACUAGAACUCUGAAACGGUGGAUGGCUGGACCCGGAUUUGGGCACAAUUGUAACCCUAAGAUGGGUAACGGGGACUCAAUUGUUGGAAUGGUAUUGAAACCUUCCCUGGAACACUUGUGCAUUUCUCGCAAGAAUAUAAAAUGAUGUAGCUGCCUUUUGAAACUGUUUGGCAUCUAAUCAACUAAACAGAGUCACUACUGUAUGGCCCAGGAACCCCACUCCUGGGUAUUUAUCUAAAGGAAUAAAAACCUUGACUCCCCACAAAAAUCUCUACACAACUGUUUAUAAAAGAAUUGUAACAGUAGCUCCAAAUCGACUUUGAAUAAAGAAAAUGUGGUCUACUUUUACAAUGGACUGUCACUUCAAAACAGGAAUGAAGUAUGGAUUCCCGAACUGCCAUCAGAGAGACCUUGGAUAGAUUGCACUCUGUGAAAGAAGUGGACUCAGAAGGUCACGCACUGUCUAAUCUGCCUUAUGUGAAAGGUCCAGAAUAGGCAACUCUGCAGAUGCAGGAAGCAGGAAGCUGUGCCAGACCUGGGGGGAAGGUGUGAGAAGGAAGUGAAGUGAGUGUGAAUUGGCUGCUGCUGCUUUGGAAGUGACCAAGAUGUUCUGGAAUAGUGAU